UGUUUUUUGGUGGUGCAUAUUAAUUAAAUAAAUGGUGGAAGAGCUCAACAUUAAGACGAUGAUCUUCACACUGUCGCAAGAAUAUCCAGACCUUGUUAAUUGUUUCUGUUGCAGCUGACAAAUAUGUUUUAAGAGGAGAUCGAACUUACAAAGGGGCUUCUAUUAUCUUUGAGAUUUUAACAAAGCUGAGGUUUAAUGCUGGAAAUCAGGAGGCAUGAUCUUUAAGUUGCAAUUGCGGGAAUAUUGAAGGCAAUUAAUGACAUUCCAGUUCUACUCAAGCCAUACUCAGCUUCAAAAUUUGAUGGUCAUAUACUCAUAUAUACCAGUCUUGUGAUGCAAAAC